rnacentral:rRNA from 1 species
UUGAACGCUGGCGGCAUGCUUUACACAUGCAAGUCGAACGGCAGCGGGGGCUUCGGCCUGCCGGCGAGUGGCGAACGGGUGAGUAACAUAUCGGAACGUACCCUAUCGUGGGGGAUAACACAUCGAAAGAUGUGCUAAUACCGCAUACGACCUGAGGGUGAAAGCGGGGGAUCGCAAGACCUCGCGCGACAGGAGCGGCCGAUAUCGGAUUAGCUAGUUGGUGAGGUAAAGGCUCACCAAGGCGACGAUCCGUAGCUGGUCUGAGAGGAUGAUCAGCCACACUGGAACUGAGACACGGUCCAGACUCCUACGGGAGGCAGCAGUGGGGAAUUUUGGACAAUGGGGGAAACCCUGAUCCAGCCAUUCCGCGUGAGUGAAGAAGGCCUUCGGGUUGUAAAGCUCUUUCAGGAGGGAAGAAACGGUUGCGGCUAAUACCCGCGACUAAUGACGGUACCUUCAGAAGAAGCACCGGCUAACUACGU